GAGACUGUAGCUCAGAUGUGGAAGAGCGCCUACCCUGCAACUAGGAGGUCGGAAGUUCGAACCUUCCCAGUCUCA
rnacentral:tRNA from 1 species